UUAGGAUUGUUUCAAUAAAAUGUUAACACUAUGGAUCAUUAAGGAUAAUUGGAAGAUGUAGUAGUUGUAUGUGGAUUGGAAUUGUUGUUGAGAGUUAUGAAUGUGGGCUGACUUAACUUACCAAUAAGGUUAUAAUGAAGAUAUUAACUUGUAUUAAAUGGACUUGGAAGCAAGAAAAUCCCAUGAUUAGUGUUGGUAUUAAAAUGGACAGAUUUGAAGUAUUUUUGAAUAUCGUCUUGGCUUGUCUUGACAUGGCAUUUGAAGGUGUGAUUAUUGAUGUUGCUUGGAGAUUUUAUGACUGAUUUGAAAGUGGAAAAAAAGUGAGCAAUAUAAGGGAGUUGCUGUCCAGAAUUUUGUGUUUUGCAAACCCGUUUUUGGAUGGGACUGCUGUUAGUAAAUUUAGCAUAACUCCUUGUGUAAAGCUCCGUUUUGGUUGAUUAAAGAUGUUUUGGAAAGCUAUUUGAUAGAGCUAAAACUUUCAUUUAGACUCUAAAACCCAGUUUUACUUUUAUAUACUCGAAAAAGGGUGAUGAAGUUAAGGGGAGGUGUUGUCCAAUUUUUUUUGUUUUUGUUCGAAAUAAUCUACUAACGAUAAAAACGUUUUAUGCCUUUCCAUAUCUUAACCAUAACGCUUAACGUAUUAAUAUAGGUAUGAGGCAGCAUAUACAUGUUGUGUAUGGAUAAACACUAAAGGUAUCGAAGUUCGAUUUGCUGAUCCACCUGUUUAGGAUAUUUGCUGCGUCGUUGACAAUGCUCCCUUGUUCGGAGUUUGUAUUUUGGUACUGACUUUAUCUCUGUAUAUUUGGAUAUUUUGGUCAGGGGUACGACGGGGCCCUGUCCUGUCAUAUGACUAUGCUAUCAUCUGUAGAGGUCUGUAGACAGAGUUAUGUUG